GUGCCUAACACAUGCAAGUCGAACGAGAAAGUGGAGCAAUCCAUGAGUAAAGUGGCGACCGGGUGAGUAACACGUGACUAACCUACCCUAAAGUGGGGGAUAACCUCGGGAAACCGGGGCUAAUACCGCAUAACAUCGCGAGGGGAAGAUCCUUGCGAUCAAAGGAGCAAUUCGCUGAAGGAGGGGGUCGCGGCUGAUUAGCUAGUUGGUGAGGUAACGGCCCACCAAGGCUUAGAUCAGUAGCCGGCCUGAGAGGGCGCACGGCCACACUGGAACUGAAACACGGUCCAG
rnacentral:rRNA from 1 species